GGUUUGGGACAUAGUUCAGGGGAAAGGCAGCAAGGGGCAAUCCAGACACUAGGCUCCAUGCCCAGGAGGUAUCUGGCUGAUGCUGUUACUCGCCAUUUGUGACGAGGCCAGGAUUUCCCACAGGCCUUGCAUCUUGGAGGAUGGAGACCAUUUAGGACCACUCAAAGAAGUCUGCCCAGGGGCAUGGAGCAGCUGGGCGACUGAGCUGGGCAUCUGACCAGAGACCAGCGUAGGGGUAUGCUAAAGGAGAGAUAAGAGUCCUAACACCAGAGGUCAGCACCAGAUCCCUAACUAGCAGUCGCUAUAGCCUGGGGUCUUUUAGGACCUCGUGUUUUUCUUUCUUUUUUUAAAAAAAUUUUAUUGAACUAUUUACAAUAUUGUGUUAAUUUCUGGUGUACAGCAAAGUGACUCAUAUAUAUAUGUCUCUAUAUAUAUAUAUUUCCAUUAUGGUUUAUCACAGGAUAUUGCUUUUAAUCCUCUGUGCUAUAUGUAAGUAGGACCUUGUUGCUUAUCCAUUUUGUAUAUAAUAGAUUGUAUCUACUAAACCCAGACUUUCAAUCCUUCCCUCCCAAACCCUCCUCUUCCUUGGCAACCCCAAGCCCUUCUUUAUGUCUGUGAGCCUGCUUCUGUUUUAUAGAUAUGUGCAUUUGUAGGAACUCAUCCUUUGAUUCUGCAGGUAGGAAAGUGCCCUGGCUCAGCUGACAGCACAGUAAGAUCUGUGUUCUUGCUAUCUGCAUACGUGCACAGCUGCACGAAUGUGCGCAUACAGACACAGACAAUGAUGUCAGCCAGGGGUGCAAUGAGCAAUGCAGGCAGUCAAGGCUGGGAACAGCCAUCCCUGCACAGAGGAGGUAGGUACAGAGGCAACAGAGAGAGAGAGAGGCAUUCCAGGUUCAGGGAAUGGCAGCAGUGGAGGCCGUUUGUUUAUUUACUAAGUCCUAUCUGACUCUUCUGCAACCCUAUGGACUGUAGCUCACGAGGCUCCUCUGUCCAUGGGAUUUCCCAGGCAAGAUUACUGGAGUGGGUUGNNNNNNNNNNNNNNNUGGAGUGGGUUACCAUUUCCUUCUCCAGGGGAUCUUCCUGGCCCAGGGAUCAAACCCGUGUCUCCUGCAUUGGCAGGCGGAUUCUUUACCAGCAGAGCCACCAUCAGACCUGCUCUAAAUUGGGCUCAUACUUUAAGUAACCUAAAGUCAUGAAAAUUAAC
rnacentral:lncRNA from 1 species